GAUGAACGCUAGCGAUAGGCUUAACACAUGCAAGUCGAGGGGCAGCACAAGGUAGCUUGCUAUCUGGGUGGCGACCGGCGCACGGGUGCGUAACGCGUAUGCAACCUGCCCUAUACAGGAGGAUAACCCGUCGAAAGACGGACUAAUACUGCGUAUGCUCACAACUUGGCAUCAAGUGGUGAGGAAAGAAAUUCGGUAUAGGAUAGGCAUGCGUCCCAUUAGCUUGUUGGUGAGGUAACGGCUCACCAAGGCAACGAUGGGUAGGGGAACUGAGAGGUUUAUCCCCCACACUGGUACUGAGACACGGACCAGACUCCUACGGGAGGCAGCAGUGAGGAAUAUUGGUCAAUGGGCGCGAGCCUGAACCAGCCAAGUCGCGUGAAGGAUGACUGUCUUAUGGAUUGUAAACUUCUUUUAUACGGGAAUAACAAGAGUCACGUGUGUCUCCCUGCAUGUACCGUAUGAAUAAGCAUCGGCUAACUCCGUG
rnacentral:rRNA from 1 species